CGGUCCAGACUCCUACCCCCGGCAGCAGUAGGGAAUCUUCCGCAAUGGGCGAAAGCCUGACGGAGCAACGCCGCGUGAGUGAUGAAGGUCUUCGGAUCGUAAAACUCUGUUAUUAGGGAAGAACAAAUGUGUAAGUAACUAUGCACGUCUUGACGGUACCUAAUCAGAAAGCCACGGCUAACUACGUGCCAGCAGCCGCGGUAAUACGUAGGUGGCAAGCGUUAUCCGGAAUUAUUGGGCGUACAGCGCGCGUAGGCGGUAAACGAAGUCUGAUGUGAAAGCCCACGGCUCAACCGUGGAGGGUCAUUGGAAACUGGAAAACUUGAGUGCAGAAGAGGAAAGUGCAUUGUCAUGUGUAGCGGUGAAAUGCGCAGAGAUAUGGAGGAACACCAGUGGCGAAGGCGAGCAUCUGGUCUGUAACUGACGCUGAUGUGCGA
rnacentral:rRNA from 1 species